rnacentral:rRNA from 1 species
UUUUUGGAGAGUUUGAUCCUGGCUCAGGACGAACGCUGGCGGCGUGCCUAAUACAUGCAAGUCGAGCGAACCGAA